GCCAGUAUAGGGUGAAACUGUGGGGGUGUGGGGAGAUGGGUGAAUGGGUGAGCAGAUUGAUCAAUUGCCAAUCAAAGCACUGACUACAGAAGGGACUCCAGAGUCUUGCCCUAAGGAUUUCAGGGGGAGGGAGUGCUCCUCUUUGAUGCUGAGUUCUCCUCUCAGCUACGAGAUACUCCCUGCUCAUAAGCUGACCUGUUAAAUGCUUUGUGGUAGAUGACAUCAAGAACUUGGCAGACACUGUUGAUGUUCACUCAAUCAGGCAAUUCAGACUGCCAGGAGAACAAAAUGAUGGCAUCCUGGAAAGGAGCAAUGCAUGGAACAGUGUAAAAUGGUUGUGUAAUUGUGACAGGAUGCCUGCAUUCCAGUCCAGAAAGUCCUAGACAGAAAUCUGGGAGUAAUACACAAGGACACAUGAACUUCAAAUGAGAAGAGAUGGGUUUUCAUGGGCACAGCUGUCUCCCUGGUGUGGGGCAGUUCUGAGCAGUAAACAACAUCUUGAUUUCACUGUCCAUGAAUGUUACAUGCAUGGCCAUUUGCCUGGACUGCAGGCAGGGCAAUUAGAAACACUCCUACUGUGCUGAGUGGAUUGCUGCGUCUAAGAAGUCUGUGGCAAUGACCUAAUUUCUCCAGUAUCUCUUUCCUUCUUUUCACCCAAACUCAAAUUGCAGUGUAAAAACAGGGCAUGCAGCCCCACAUAUCUGAAGAAAAAAAAAAAGUUUUAGUGGAAAUGUUGCUGGAAGUAGUAUUUUCACAAAGAAGCUCUAAUUUUAUCUAGGUGGAGUUUAACAGUCAAAAAUUUAGUCAAGUGUUCUCAGCUGAAUCUCUUUGUAAAUCUGAUGCCUAUUACAUGCCUAUAAAACUGCACACAGCAUUUUGUACUACACCAUGACUUAUCCAUGUAGGGUUUGAUAGACUGAAGUAAUUUUGAUCAACUCUUUCCUCUCAAAGAAUAGACAUUUUCUGUGCUCGUUUAGUUAGGGCAAUUAUUUUUUGUUUAGCAUCACACUAUAUUCAAACCGUUUACUUUCAUUUUUAAAUUAAUAUGAAAUCCUUGAUGGUAGUUUUAUGCUAGAAUGAUUCUUAUACUAGCUUCUGUCAAGGAAGAGAUGAGUCUCAAGAACCAUGUUUCUUUAAUGUCUAUCAGUUUGCAUUGCUGGGAAUUCUAUUUCUUAAAAUACCUAUAUUUAUUGUAUUAUACGGUGACUAGGCUUGCUAGACUGAUUAAUACCAGGGAAAGAGAUGAAAGGCUUCAAAUCUCAGUUUCUGCAGGAGUUAUUAAAUCAGCAUAAUACUGAUACUUUUGAUAUUCAAUAAUUUCUGCAUCUGUUUAUUAGUCAAAAAAUAUAUAACUUCUUAAGAAUAUAAUUUAUAUGACAGAGCUAUUGUUCCUCCUUUUUAAGCUUCUGACAGAUUUCCCAUUUCUAGUGAAAGUUAGCAGUAAUUGCAAAGGUACCUGAUUAAAAUGCUAAAAGAUUUUUUUAUUUUUUAUUUUUUGGCCAAAACAUGUUUCAUCUUAGGGGUGCCAGUGUUUCUAUGGGAGAAUGAGGAAGUACAAAAAAACUUGAAGAUACUGAUUUCACUGAUUAAGCAGUUAUAUACAAUUUUAUACAACCGAAACGUACUAAAAAUAAUAUUCUUAAAAUGGGAGAGUGUGUUGAUAAUUUCAGUCUAUCUUCUCUCUGAUUUUUCUUUUGGUUCACAAGUAUGGGCUCUCAUGGGACUUAAUGCAGUUUUAUUAAUGGUUGGUUGAAUAAGGAAUCCAUAAACAUGGAAGACUGUGUCUAGGCCAGGUAAUAUUCCCCACAAAUAAGAGACUUGUUGAAUAGUUGAGUUCUUGUUCUCCUUUAUUUACACAUUCCACUUGGAGCUGAUUCUUGAGUGUCUCUCAGAAGCCUGGUGAGAAUAAAAUGUGUUAUUUUCUGCCUUAAUAGCAUGUCCUGAUGCUCUGUGUUGUGCUUACCCUUGCUGAAGUUACCCUUUAAACUAAUCAGUAAGAAGCUUAUUGUUCUGGAGAUGAGAAGUCAACUUCUGAAUUUGAGUGAAGUUUCUUUGCUUUGAAUAUAGUGUCUACAAAGAGUUGCUGACCGUAUGCUUUUUAUCGGGGAGCUUUUAAGAGAAUCGGUAAAAAUACUUGCUGUUUAGAAGCUUCUGUUCUUAUGGAUCAGAAGAUGUCAACAUCUGAGCUGAUCAUACCACAAUUUUUAACGGCCAAAAGAUGGAAAAUUGUGCCUUUAGAGCAUGUCUUGCUAAAAGGAACAUCUGACUCAGGUUGGGUGAUUCUCACCCCAGAAAUAUCUGCUUUUCUCCAAUGGAUAAAAAGAUUAUGUUUGCAGAUGUCUAGACUGAUAUGCAAAUAAAAAUAAUAUUGCAGAGUUUAUUUGCUGCAAUGAACAUUUCAAGCACUUCAAAUAAUGCAAAAAGCUUUGGUUCAGUAGAAAAAAAAAUCUGAAAACCAAAGUAAUUGUAUGUUGAUUAAAGGAGCAGCAAAGAAUAAUACUAAUGGGAACUUUGUUAAAUGUUGAGUGGCAAGUACUAAAACAUCUAGUUAUUUAAGGUGAGAUCUGGCACAUGAUUCUUGGUGUAUGUGGGUAUUGAUGCUUAUCAUCUUUCAAUGAAAAUUGAGAAUUAUAUAGACUGCAGAAUUCAGCUGUCUGGUAACGUAGGUACUGGGUGAAGUGUAGAAAAAUUUAGAAGACUGAGUCUUCAGAUGUGGAAAUAGGUUUGUUGGAGCACAGAUAGUAAACACACAGAAAGAGAAAAUACCAUGUUAACUUAUUGAUUUUUUUAUCAUGGUCCUUAGCUAUCUCUGUGUUCCUAAGAUCCAGAACAGUGUUUGCCCCAUUUUUUAAUUUAUUCUUAAAAUAAAACAAUAAUCAUGUCUUUGGACUGAAUUUUAUAGGGCUUAAUUUAUCAAGGUUUAUUAGAGACCAGA